rnacentral:rRNA from 1 species
GCUAACGACGCGCAACCUCGUCGUAUGUUAUAUGUGUCAUACGAGACUGCCGGGUAAAAAAGCCGGAGGAAGGUGAGGAUGAUGUCAAGUCAGCAUGACCUUUAUAUCCAGGGCUACACACACGCUACAAUGGUCUGUACAAUGGGUAGCCAAGCCGCGAGGCGGAGCCAAUCCUGAAAGCAGGCCUCAGUUCAGAUUGCAGUCUGCAACUCGACUGCAUGAAGCCGGAGUUGCUAGUAACCGCAGGUCAGCAAUACUGCGGUGAAUACGUUCCCGGGUCUU